UACGUAGGGUGCAAGCGUUAUCCGGAUUCACUGGGUUUAAAGGGUGUGUAGGCGGAUAUUUAAGUCAGUGGUGAAAUCUCCGGGCUCAACCCGGAAACUGCCAUUGAUACUAUUUAUCUUGAAUCUUGUUGAGGUAGGCGGAAUAUAUCAUGUAGCGGUGAAAUGCUUAGAUAUGAUAUAGAACACCGAUUGCGAAGGCAGCUUACUAAACAAGCAUUGACGCUGAGGCACGAAAGCGUGGGGAUCAAACAGG
rnacentral:rRNA from 1 species